GGGUUGUCAAGAGAGGGGAGGAUUUCUUGCUAGAGAUCUCUGUGUACCUGAGUUGUUCCAAGGAGCCACUAGGGACUUCACUUGACUGCUAGGACUUCUCAAAUAUCAUUGAGAUUGGCUUUGUAGCUGCAUCAGUCAGUUCCUUCUGGACUCUGGGAUGCAUCUCAUCAGGACCCAUAGACCCUAUGGAUGUAACAAAAGCUUCAGAAACUCCAACAGAAGGGAAGAACAGAGAAACUUUGAAGCAUGUGAUAAGACAUCUCUUCAGAGAAGACUGCAGCUCAAUGUAUGGAGCAGGUUGUGUGAGUGUUCUUUACCUCCAUCCAAGGGUCGCCAGCUGUAAUAGAACAAUCUGGGUAUGUGAAAGCACUAGCCAGCUUAAUGGAAACUUUUGCAGCUUUGAGAACUUUGGUAAGAGAAUACUGAAAAACUGGUGCAACAGGCUCAAGUAAUAAGAAAGAGGACUCAGGCACAGCCUGCCAGAAAGUGCUACCAAAAUUCCUCACAGAAGAGAGAGAGUGAAAAUGAGCCUUGAAGAAUAAUUUGGACUGUAAAUGACAAUUAGAUGUCUAAGUUAAGGAGGGACCAUAGGUCCAAAGUGGUGCUAUUAAACACAGUUUCUGAAUGAUGAAUGAGCGGAUACAUCUGUCUGCAAUUCUGAUUUACAGGCAAGAUUUCAUCAAUUCAAACUAUUUUCUAAUUUUCAUGUGUACCAUUCAGGUUUCUUUUCUGUGAUUUUCAUGUGAUCUAAAGCAAGAGAUGGUACUGUAAAUGUCUCGCAUAUGAUUGUUAUGACCCUUCAUUUCUACAGAGAGUAGUUAACCUGCGGUGAGAAGAUCUAAAUUUUAGAGAAAAUGAAAUACUGCAUGAUUUCCUAGCACUUUUCUAUUAGUCCAUCACAAACAAGGAAUAGAAGAUACACUUGAACAAAGUCUAGGAUAGCUGAUGUCUGAAAGCUUGGCCCCAAAUCAUGCCAUCAAAAAUGUCUGCUUUCACGGUCUCUUUUUAAGCAUCUUGCCUGUCACCCCAAGUCUCUUAAUGAAUAGGUAAGACACUGAAUCUGAAAUUCACACAAAUUAUUCAAAAACUACCUUGUAAGGCAGUGCUAAACUUCUGGUCUGUCUCUUUAAAAAUGAGAAAAAUAUUGAGUAGGAAAAGUAGAAUAUAGGAGAAAGAAUGAGGAGGAAAAAAAAAAAAAACAGUUAAAUUGUAGUGGUUUUCAGAUUAAUUCAAGUAAAGCGUUAAUCUUGGAAUUUGACUUUCUUGGAACAAUAACAAAAUCACUGGCCAAAAAAGCACUGUACGAUGUAACUAUUUUUCUGUUAUUCGUCUUUUAUAACUUCACCAUUUCCAUUUCAACAGCAAGGAAUCUUAUUAACUCCUCUUCCCGAUGAAAAACAAAAAGCUAUUAUUAUUUGCUUAUUUGCUUAUUCCUAUAUUUGUUUGUUUUUUUUUUUUUUGUUUAUUUUAGAUUAUCGGUAUUUUCAUCACCACAAAUGCCUUUUUAAAAUGACAGUACUAUGUGAUGAGAGGAAAUUAGGUAAUUUUAAAGGGUUGCUUCAAACUUUUGUUGACUUUUUACCUUGGGGUUUUGCUGUGCAGGAGUGCUACAAACACAUAGAAUGACUUCUUGAAAUUUUCAGCUGCUAACGAGACCAGGAUUAAGAAAGUUGGUACAUUUCACCUACAAUUUAUUUGUCAAGAAACUUCAAGUUAAUACCACUGGAGAAUAAACAACAGCAUCUCGCUCUGCAAACUAUAUGAAUGUAAUUGGGAAGAUGAAUUUUUUUUCCUGUGCCUGAUUAAAACAAAUCCAAUAGUGAAUGUGAAAAUGUUUUUGAGUUUUUACAAAGUAUUUUUGGGUGAGUAUUUUUACUGCGUUUGUUUUGAAGAUGCUGUCAUAUGACCAGGAAUAACAACUUAAAAAAAUGAGUAUUACUAAGUAAAAUACAACAUUUAAAUAGAAGAUUUCAAAGUUUAUUGUUGUUAUUUUUAGGUUUUGUUUUCUUUUUAUCCUCUUUGUUUUGUUUGACAAGCUCCUUGCAGAAAGAAAGCAGACACUGUGUGGCAACUGGGUCCCACCUUUUGGAAAAUGUAAAUGAG